UUUGUUAUGAACCAUUUGAAUUUAAAAUUUUGAAAGAUGUAGUAAAUCCGGAAAUGUAUCAGUCAAUAGUUUAUGGGCCAACUUGCUGGGGUGAAGAUAUCGUUGAAAAAUCAGUUUAUUUACCACAAUUAAAAAUACAUGAUUGGUUAUAUUUAGAAAAUUUCGGCGCUUAUAAGCAAGUAUUAUUUACCAAAUUCAAUGGUUUCUCAAAGCCAAAAAUAUAUGCAAUUUGUAGCACAAAUAAAUGGAGUUUUUUUAAAUCCAGUUUUUCGAUUCGUGAAAAUAACAUUCAAGAACAUGGUACAUGUAUGAUUAUCAAUAGUUCUUAAGAAAUUUGUAUGCCACAUCAUUUUUAUUGUGAAUAAAAUUUUUAUCUUUAAAAAUUA